UACGUAGGGUGCAAGCGUUGUCCGGAAUUAUUGGGCGUAAAGGGCUCGUAGGUUGCCAACUAAGUCAGACGUGAAAUCCCUCGGCUUAACCGGGGAACUGCGUCUGAUACUGGAUGGCUUGAGUUCGGGAGAGGGAUGCGGAAUUCCAGGUGUAGCGGUGAAAUGCGUAGAUAUCUGGAGGAACACCGGUGGCGAAGGCGGCAUCCUGGACCGACACUGACACUGAGGAGCGAAAGCCAGGGGAGCAAACGGG
rnacentral:rRNA from 1 species